CUUGAUGAGAGUCCCGUUAUGUUUUUUGCUUGCAAAAAAAGAACAGAAUUAACUUCAGUUGUUCUGUUCUUUUUGUGUGAGAAGGUUGUGUGUUUAACAAAAUCAAAAAAUGAAAGGUUUAAAGUUUAUUAAAACAAUUUUUGGUGAUAAAAAGGAGAUUAUUUGUGUUAGCUUUGACGGAGUUAACAAUUACAAAUUGUUCUUGGAUGAAGUUCGAAAAAGCUACAGUUUAGGUGGAGAUGUUGAUGUAGAUGUACUCUCUAAAGGAUUUAGCAUAAAACCAAGCUUUUUUUCCGAUUUUGUUAGUUAAUUUAUUGGAUCUACCGAUUUUGUUCUAGAUAUUAAACUAUCAAAUGCUGACGUUUGUGUAUCCAAUACGGACUCCGCUUUUGAAGGUGAAUCUACAGAUUCUGGUAGAAUUAGAGAAACGCCAUCAACAGAAAGUUUCACAGCUGCUCGCCAAGCAAUAUCCUGCAUUGGAGAAGAACCAUUCUUAAAUUCCUCACAAGACAUAAUUGUGCUCACAACUGUUGACAAUUUGGAUUGUCUUCCAUCAAAGCAAGAAAUUAGCGCAAUCCCUGACAUUCACCAAUUCUUAAAUGUUAAAACGUUGGAAAAUAAGGACCGCAUUAAAAUUGCAAAGGCCUUAAUUGAAUUUAUUCUAAAUAAAAACCCAAGUAGACAGUAUGUAU